rnacentral:rRNA from 1 species
AGCGGCGGACGGGUGAGUAACGCGGGGGUAACCUGCCCUGUACACACGGAUAACAUACCGAAAGGUAUGCUAAUACGAGAUAAUAUGCUUUUAUCGCAUGAUAGAAGUAUCAAAGCUUUUGCGGUACAGGAUGGACCCGCGUCUGAUUAGCUGGUUGGUAAGGUAACGGCUUACCAAGGCGACGAUCAGUAGCCGACCUGAGAGGGUGAUCGGCCACAUUGGAACUGAGACACGGUCCAAACUCCUACGGGAGGCAGCAGUGGGGAAUAUUGCACAAUGGGCGAAAGCCUGAUGCAGCAACGCCGCGUGAGCGAUGAAGGCCUUCGGGUCGUAAAGCUCUGUCCUCAAGGAAGAUAAUGACGGUACUUGAGGAGGAAGCCCCGGCUAACUACGUGCCAGCAGCCGCGGUAAUACGUAGGGGGCUAGCGUUAUCCGGAUUUACUGGGCGUAAAGGGUGCGUAGGUGGUUUCUUAAGUCAGAGGUGAAAGGCUACGGCUCAACCGUAGUAAGCCUUUGAAACUGGGAAACUUGAGUGCAGGAGAGGAGAGUGGAAUUCCUAGUGUAGCGGUGAAAUGCGUAGAUAUUAGGAGGAACACCAGUUGCGAAGGCGGCUCUCUGGACUGUAACUGACACUGAGGCACGAAAGCGUGGGGAGCAAACAGGAUUAGAUACCCUGGUAGUCCACGCCGUAAACGAUGAGUACUAGCUGU